UAAUACGUAGGGGGCAAGCGUUGUCCGGAAUUACUGGGCGUAAAGAGCGUGUAGGCGGAUUAUUAAGUCAGAUGUGAAAACUUGGGGCUCAACCGCAAGAGUGCACCUGAUACUGGUAAUCUUGAGGGUAUGAGAGGAAAACGGUAUUCCUAGUGUAGCGGUGAAAUGCGUAGAUAUUAGGAGGAACACCAGUGGCGAAGGCGGUUUUCUGGCAUACAACUGACGCUGAGACGCGAAAGCGUGGGGAGCAAACAGGAUUAGAUACCCUGGUAGUCCACGCCGUAAACGAUGGGUACUAGGUGUAGGAGGUAUCGACCCCUUCUGUGCCGCAGUUAACACAAUAAGUACCCCGCCUGGGGAGUACGGCCGCAAGGUUGAA
rnacentral:rRNA from 1 species